UACAGAGGUCCCGAGCGUUGUUCGGACUCACUGGGCGUAAAGGGUGCGUAGGUGGCAUGGCCAGUUUGAUGUGAAAGCUCAGGGCUUAACCCUGAAAUGGCAUUGAAUACUGCUGUGCUGGAGGUUUGGAGGGGGGACUGGAAUUCUUGGUGUAGCAGUGAAAUGCGUAGAUAUCAAGAGGAACACCAGUGGCGAAGGCGAGUCCCUGGACAACACCUGACACUGAGGCACGAAAGCCGGGGGAGCAAACAGG
rnacentral:rRNA from 1 species